rnacentral:tRNA from 1 species
GGGAAAGUGGCUCAGUGGUAGAGUACUUGCCUUGCAUGCAUGAGGCCCCGGGUUCGAUUCCUCAGCACCA